CUCUCCAUUUUAAAGUUAUAAUGAGGGAUUUCAAUUAUGGAAUUGAGAGGAUCAGUCCAUUUUAAGGGUAUGACUUUCCUCCAUACUCUUAUGUUUCAUAUAUUUGCAUAUUUUAUUUUUUUGAGUUUCAUACUAGGCCGACAGUGAUAAUCUAAAUUAUUUAUCUUGUAAAUGUAGAUAGAGACCCUAAUGUUUGGUAACUACACUUGAAACCCUAAGCCUUAGGUUAAUAGCAUUUUAGCCCCUACUUCCAUAAAAGUCUGCAUAAUGGCCCAAUAAAGAAUAAUUUUAAAUCCUAGAACACCAUUUUAUAAUUAGAAAUACCUUAACACUUGGCUUUUAUUUAUUUUAUCUCCUAAUUUCUAAAUUAAUUCAUACAUUCUUUUUUUUUUUUUUUAGCCUAGUUGCAAAUUUACUAAUUCUUUGAAUCCUUAUUAUUUAUUUGAGCAAAUAAAUAGCUAUAAAUAUAUUUUUAAAAAAAGUAGUUUUAUGAUUUAUUUUAAUUUUUAGUUGAGCAAAUUAGUAGCAAAUUAGUGGGAAAAAAUAUCUAGAUAUUUAUAAGUUGCUUAGGCAUUAAGUUAAAAGGGUAGAAUGGUCAUUUUAACCCAAUUCAUGGACUAUAAAAUUGAGAAGCAUUGUCUCAAUUCCUCUCUCACGUUUUUAGCAGCUCAGGGAGAGGGUGAGAGAGGGAGAGAGUGCGAGAGGGAAGUAGAGAAGAAGGAAAGAGAAAAAGAAGGAAAAGUGAUUCAAGAAGGGUGUAAGCGAGCCCAAUUGUUUGGCCGUCCCUUUUGAGGUCCAUUAAUGCCACUGACAGGUAAAUAAUCGGAAGGUGGGCAUAGGUGGUAAGGACUGCAAAGCAGCAAAAGGGAGAGUUCUGAAUAGUCCGGUGUUCAAUUAUUGUGGUUGGGUAGAAGAAUCUCUUUGGGGGGAUUCUAGAUGCCUAGUCUAUCUACUAAUUCACAAGUCCUUGUUAGAAGAUUGUAUGUUAUGUUACCUGAUUUGUUCUGUGUAUGGUUGAUUGAUUGAUAGAAGAUAUGGGGGUGUAUAUAUUUUUACUGGGCAUUCCAAGCUCAUGUCGUGUCAUGCCAAGUGGGGAAGCAGUUUACAAUGGUGAAAGUAAUCCCGAAGGCAACCAAGAUGAAAUGUUGGAGCCGUGGUUCAGUUGAAGACUUAGACUAGUAGUUUUUUUUUACUUUGACUUUUGGCAUGUCAGUGUUUGUAAUCCUAUUGCGAAACACAAAUGAAUUAACUAUGGUAUUAACUUUGCUUAUAUGUAUAUAUUAAGAUGUUUGGUUAUCUAUCAUGUUUGAAUUGUA